rnacentral:pre_miRNA from 1 species
GACGUGUCCGCCAUUCGUCUCGACCGGUGCUUCGUAUCGCAUCAGUCUUGUCGAAUGGUGGGUGCGUU